AACGAACGCUGGCGGCAUGCCUAACACAUGCAAGUCGAACGAGACCUUCGGGUCUAGUGGCGCACGGGUGCGUAACGCGUGGGAACCUGCCCUUAGGUUCGGAAUAACUCCCCGAAAGGGGUGCUAAUACCGGAUAAUGUCUUCGGACCAAAGAUUUAUCGCCUUUGGAUGGGCCCGCGUUGGAUUAGCUAGUUGGUAGGGUAAAAGCCUACCAAGGCGACGAUCCAUAGCUGGUCUGAGAGGAUGAUCAGCCACACUGGGACUGAGACAGGGCCCAGACUCCUACGGGAGGCAGCAGUGGGGAAUAUUGGACAAUGGGCGAAAGCCUGAUCCAGCAAUGCCGCGUGAGUGAUGAAGGCCUUAGGGUUGUAAAGCUCUUUUACCCGGGAUGAUAAUGACAGUACCGGGAGAAUAAGCUCCGGCUAACUCCGUG
rnacentral:rRNA from 1 species